rnacentral:rRNA from 1 species
UACGUAGGGUGCGAGCGUUGUCCGGAAUUACUGGGCGUAAAGAGCUCGUAGGUGGUUUGUCGCGUUGUUCGUGAAAACUCACAGCUCAACUGUGGGCGUGCGGGCGAUACGGGCAGACUGGAGUACUGCAGGGGAGACUGGAAUUCCUGGUGUAGCGGUGAAAUGCGCAGAUAUCGGGAAGAACACCCGUGGCGAAGGCGGUUCUCUGGGACGGUACUGACGCUGAGACGCGAAAGCGUGGGGAGCGAACAGG